rnacentral:rRNA from 1 species
GACGAACGCUGGCGGCGUGCUUAACACAUGCAAGUCGAACGGAAAGGCUCCAGCUUGCUGGAGUACUCGAGUGGCGAACGGGUGAGUAACACGUGGGUAAUCUGCCCUGCACUCUGGGAUAAGCCUGGGAAACUGGGUCUAAUACUGGAUAUGACCUUUCUCCUUAUGGGGUUUGGUGGAAAGUUUUUCGGUGUAGGAUGAGCCCGCGGCCUAUCAGCUUGUUGGUGGGGUGAUGGCCUACCAAGGCGACGACGGGUAGCCGGCCUGAGAGGGUGAUCGGCCACAUUGGGACUGAGAUACGGCCCAGACUCCUACGGGAGGCAGCAGUGGGGAAUAUUGCACAAUGGGCGGAAGCCUGAUGCAGCGACGCCGCGUGAGGGAUGACGGCAUUCGGGUUGUAAACCUCUUUCAGCAGGGACGAAGCGUAAGUGACGGUACCUGCAGAAGAAGCACCGGCUAACUAUGUG